CUGUGAACUCCUUUCAUCCAUCACUCGGCCACAGUCUGCAGGACAGACUUGGCAAAGUGCUAGCUAGAGAGUAGCAAUUAAGACCUCCUCACAUUCAAGUCCCACUUUUUGUGGAGAACCUUACAGCAAAUGUUUUGCCCCUGAGAUAGAACCAGUGCUCAGAAAAAAUGAGGAUUGGGUUAAGGAGUAUUCAUCCAGGUGAAGAAGGCUGCAAAAGGAAUGUCUACCAGGAACUCUGCUUUCGUGAAAGGUUUUGAGGAACUGCAUUUAAGAGAGAAGUAAAAAGAAGAGAAAGAGAGUGAUAUUGAUUGUCCCACAAUAUUCAUACAGGUUCCAGCCUGCUCCUCUGAGGUCAUAGUGCAACAGAGACCUCUUCACCCUCAGGAAGAAUUCCAGGCAUUCAGAGCACACACGUGUCUGGACCAGCAGCUUGAACAGCCUCACUUUUCCUGUGCAGAGAGUGUGUUAUAGUGGGAUCCUCGACACUGCAUACUCAGGAAGA
rnacentral:lncRNA from 13 species